ACUCGUUUAGUUUAUUAAUAAAAUAUAACUCUGAAGAAGUUAAGAAGUUUUUGAGUGUUGAAAAGUG
rnacentral:tRNA from 1 species